rnacentral:pre_miRNA from 1 species
GGUAAAUAUCUAGUGCAAGUCUACAGGUGAAUUUCUUUUUAGAUUGCACUAGUUAAUUAUCAU